rnacentral:rRNA from 1 species
UACGUAGGGUGCGAGCGUUGUCCGGAAUUAUUGGGCGUAAAGGGCUCGUAGGCGGUUUGUCGCGUCGGGAGUGAAAACCCAGGGCUUAACCCUGGGCUGGCUUUCGAUACGGGCAGACUAGAGGUAUGCAGGGGAGAACGGAAUUCCUGGUGUAGCGGUGAAAUGCGCAGAUAUCAGGAGGAACACCGGUGGCGAAGGCGGCGUUCUGGACUGCAACUGACACUGAGGAACGAAAGCCAGGGGAGCAAACGGG